GACGAACGCUGGCGGCGUGCUUAACACAUGCAAGUCGAACGGAAAGGCCCUGCUUGCAGGGUACUCGAGUGGCGAACGGGUGAGUAACACGUGGGUUAUCUGCCCUGCACUUCGGGAUAAGCCUGGGAAACUGGGUCUAAUACCGGAUAGGAGCCAUUUUUAGUGUGAUGGUUGGAAAGUUUUUUCGGUGUAGGAUGAGCUCGCGGCCUAUCAGCUUGUUGGUGGGGUAAUGGCCUACCAAGGCGGCGACGGGUAGCCGGCCUGAGAGGGUGGACAGCCACAGUGGGACUGAGAGACGGCCCGGACUCCUACGGGAGGCAGCAGGGGGGAAUAUUGCACAAUGGGCGCAAGCCUGAUGCAGCGACGCCGCGUGGGGGAUGACGGCCUUCGGGUUGUAAACUCCUUUCGCUAGGGACGAAGCUGUUUGUGACGGUACCUAGAUAAGAAGCACCGGCUAACUACGUG
rnacentral:rRNA from 1 species